GCAAGUCGAGCGGUAACAGAGAGUAGCUUGCUACUUUGCUGACGAGCGGCGGACGGGUGAGUAAUGCUUGGGAACAUGCCUUGAGGUGGGGGACAACAGUUGGAAACGACUGCUAAUACCGCAUAACGUCUACGGACCAAAGGGGGGGACCUUCGGGCCUCACGCCAAAAGAUUAGCCCAAGUGGGAUUAGCUAGUUGGUAAGGUAAUGGCUUACCAAGGCGACGAUCUCUAGCUGGUUUGAGAGGAUGAUC
rnacentral:rRNA from 1 species